rnacentral:rRNA from 1 species
AUUGAACGCUGGCGGCAGGCCUAAUACAUGCAAGUCGAGCGGAGCGGCGGACGGGUGAGUAAUGCCUAGGAAUCUGCCUGGUAGUGGGGGAUAACGUCCGGAAACGGGCGCUAAUACCGCAUACUAUCAGAUGAGCCUAGGUCGGAUUAGCGAGUUGGUGGGGUAAAGGCCUACCAAGGCGAAGAUCCGUAACUGGUCGGAGAGGAUGAUCAGUCAAACUGGAACUGGGACACGGUCCAGACGCCUACGGGAGGCAGCAGUGGGGAAUAUUGGACAAUGGGCGGAAGCCUGAUCCAGCCCUGCCGCGUGUGUGAAGAAGGUCGUCGGAUUGUAAAGCACUUUCAGCGAGGAGUCGUUACUCGCAGAAGAAGCACCGGCUAACUCCGUGCCAGCAGCCGCGGUAAUAC